GUGGUUUAUGAACGGCCCCUAAGAAGCACAUCCACAUGGGUGGUCGUCUCGUGACACUCUUUCUUAAAAGAAUAGCAAAUGUUUCAAAAAGGGGAAAAUCGCCGAUGAUAUUGUUCGCAGCGAUGAUUUUUGUAAUUUUUGUCUCGUGUAACAAUUAAGAUGGUUACGCGGGUAAAAAUCUGGAACUCAAAACUUUCAAAAUGAGUCAUUAUUUAGCGAUAAAUGUGUUUGUUUGUAUUUUGAAAAAAAAAAAAAACACCAUAAAAAGCGGAACGAUAUCAUGAUUCGUUUUACCGUAACAUGAAUCAUUCCGCAUGUACUCUGAACUGAAUACUAACAUAUGUAAUAUUAUGCAAUCAUAAGACUAUGAAGCUAGUAUUUAUCAUUUAUAAUUUCGAUUGCAUAGGCAAAAAGUUAUUAAGAAAUAUGUCAUAAUAUCAUGCGCUGCCGCAUGUACUCUGGAACCAUGACCUAAAUUUUUGAAACCAUAAGCCAUUUUUUUUUUGUUCCUCCCAUUGUAAAAAAUGGAAAAUUGAGUCAUAAUAUCAUGCCGCAUGUACUCCAGAAUCGUGAUAAACAUUAUGGAAACAUUAGCUUUAUUUAUAAAAUUUGUGCAUAUCAUUUAUGAUUUCUAAUUGAUGUUUUUUUUUAAACUUAGGAUUCUAAUCGCUUCUAGUCCCAUUUAUUUUUUGAUUAUUCUCGACUCCGAUCACCCAAUUAAGCGCAGUUUCGAGUUCGAAAGGAAUCGCUCAAGAAACUUCUUGAGUGAUUCCUGGCAGAAACUUUCUUCGGUGACUGCCAUUUGAACUGUCAUUUCUUCGCUACUGCGUACUGCGAUCGAAGAAAAACCGGUUUCUUGAGCAAUUCAGGCAAGGAAUUUCCCAUGCAUCAAGAUAGGCUGAGAAAUUCCAUCUGAUCUGCAAACAGCGCUUUAAUGUUGCAUGGAGCGAUUGAAAUUCAGAUCCACAAAAAAAUGAUUAAAAAUUAAAUGUGAUCAUGGUAGAUGAAUAAAACAUAUCUUUUCAGGGAAACAUAUCAUGCAAGAAACAUCAUGUAUAAAAAAAAGGAGCAGAAGUUGCCCAGUAGGGUUUUUCUUUACAUUAGGGUUCUGAAAACUUAACACCGAAAACAUAUCUAUCUAUACAUAUAAAAAUGCAGUGGCAUACGUGGGACCGCGCAUAACUUGCAAACGGAUGGUCCGAUGUGGGUCGUCUGAGUUUUGUUCUGUUAGUUUUUACCCAAGGAAGGUUUCGAAGGCAAAAAACAUGGAAAAAUCAAGAGUUUUUGGGAAUCGGGUUUUCAUACAUUUUGAACGGGGACUUGGACUUGGUUACCCGAGCAAAGUCUAACAACAAAAUUACAGCAAAUCGAAAACAUGAUUUGUAUUCAGCAACAAAUUCAUAUAACAUUUUGAUAUCAGUUUAUCUUUAUUUAUUUUGAUUUCAAUUUCCUUUUCGGUUUGCUGUCAUUCAAAAUUAAUGUAAAUAUUUUGUGUUUGAAUAGUUUCAAAUCUAGAUUGAGUUUAAAUAAGGGCGAAAGUAACAUGAGCGAAUUCUCUUCAUCGACUCUCUCUUCUUCAAAUUAAAGUGACGAGAUGCAAGCAAGGUUGCACUUUUUAGCAUUAGCAUUGAGCGAGUCGCACAAAUUCGUAGGUGGUACAGUCCUAGACCGCUGUUAUGAGGGUUGCCUCCUUCCCGCCCGAACCAAAGCACAAAGAUUUGGGACUAAUCUCUGACUCUUAGACAAGACUGACGCAAUCCUCCAAUGGUCGAGCACUGUCCUGGCCACGUCCUUGCGACUGCUGAGAGAUGGGAAAGGAUGGUUAGUUUUGGACACCUAUGAAAAAUGUAGACAACUCUACGAUCUCUCAGGCCUAGGUGUCACGGGAAUUUGGGUGUUGUUAGUGGAAGGAUAAACUCCAAAGGAUACGCUUGAUCAACGUUCAGGCACACCAUUGUUAAACUGCUUCGAAUCAGUUGUCUGCCCAAUUCGUCCUAGUUUCCUUGUCAUCUUGGUGGCAUUUUGUUGAAUUACUAGAUUCUUCGGUUGAUAAUCUGAAAUAUAAAAUAAUAUUAGCAACGUACCUCAAAUAAGCUACAUAUUAGUGAUACGCUCGCCACAGCUACAUAGUUUUACAAUAUUAUUUAUAUCAUACGAUCAAUUUACCUGAAUCCUGCUGAAAUAAAAUGUUAAUUAGCAGUACAUUAAAACAAAAAUACUACAAAACACAAAAAAUGCAUCAAACUUUGAUCUUGGAAUAUUUAUAAAUACGGUAAAUAUCAAAAUCAAAAUUUGAUUUGGUAAAUAGAUCUUACACCGCAACGCACCAUUCUAAGGUGAUCUACCCACGUUACGGGACAAGGUUGCACUUUUUGGUCAUAAAUCGCUAGGUUGCGAUGCAAUCUAGCGUCUAAGUAUAAAAAAGUUCGAUUGAAUUUGCAUCUUGUCACUUUAAUUUGCAGAAGAGAGAGUCGAUGAAGAGAAAUCGAUCAUGUUACUUUCGCCCUUAUUUAAACUCAAUCUAGAAAUAGUUUAGUAAACUAUGUGAAGUAUAAUUCCAGGGAUAUACUAUAAGUGCAAUUAUAUUAUUGCACUUAUGAUUUGAUAUCAACCAAAAAACUCUACAUUUACCGAAUUUUAAUUUUUCUUGCGUUGAUAACAAAAACAGUUAUCAAUUUGCUAUCAUCGAUAGCAGGAAUUGUUUUCAAUUUGCUGUCACAGGAACAUUUUUCUGCUCUCAUUUUUUAUGUUUUAACCGUUAAAACGACCAAAACGACAACAAGCUGAGUUAUCAAAAUUUGCAAUAUCAGAACAUCAAAAUUAGUUUUCAAUUUGCUAUCAGACUUUGCUCGGGUAGGGACUUGAAACGUCAAAAAAACGCAGUAGGCAAGACAAACUUUGCCGGGGUCAGCUAGUUUUUAAUAAUUAGUUAUAAAAAGUUGUCAGAUAGUAAUUAGGAAUUAUAAGAUAUUUACGUUUUUUAAUUGGAAGAAUAUUUUGUUGUUUCACCGAAACACCACCUAACAGAUUGGGCAUGAAAAAAACAAAACAAUGGCAUCAUAGGUUUAGGUUUAUGUUAUUAUUGUUUAGGUUUAGGUUUAUAUAACGAGUAGAAAUCUCGUAUUCUAUUGUUUUGAUACUUAAUAUCUGAGAGAGAGGAGACAGCUCACUGACAGCCACGAUGUUUACAUGUCUUCUUCUUACUUAUUUUUACAACUUUUAGCGCCGCACAAUGGUUUGAAAAAACAUUAUUGGUCAAAAAUAAAUUGCAUAUUGAGUUCAUUGCGACAGAGCAUGGAAAAUAAAUGGAUUCGUUGCGCUGGUCGUGGGAAACUGAUCAUUAUUAUUUUAUCUUUAUUAAAUACAACAAACGGAGCAAAAUUUUGAUAAGAUCUUUUGGAUAUUUGGCUACUCCACACCAUCAAUGUGCAAUUUUCAGCUCGGUUCGCGGUGACAGUUUGUGACAGGUCCUUCUUGACAUUAGGUAGCACGCAAUCGAAGCCAGCUGUCUCCUCUCUCUCAGCUUAAUAUUAUGACGCUGCUUUAUGGUUUUAUGACUCUGCAGCAUGAUUUCAUGACUUAGCGUCACGGUGAUCGAUAAAUAAAAGUAAGAAUUGGUUUGUCAUAAGGUCAUAAUAUUACAAACAGUUACAGAGUUAUUGAGGCAUUAGAAAAAAAAAAUCCUAGGAAUUCCUGUUCUAUCAGUUACAUAGUUUUCAGGUGAUGAACAUUUUUUUAAACGACUCGUGUGAAUUUGCUCUGAAAUGACCAUUAUUGUGAAUAUGAAAAGUAAAAACGGAUAGAGAAUAAGAACAGCUUUGUUAAAGCUUCUGCUUGAUACCUGUUGUUGGUAGGGUAUUGUACCAUUUGGGCAAGUGUACCUAUUUUGGGCAUUUGCCACUAUAACUAAGUCAAUUUCAAACCGAUUGAUUUGAAUUUUUGUUCAGGGUUACAUACUGUACGUGCCUAACUCUAUACAAAAUUUCAAAUCAAUCGGUUUGAAAUUGACUUUUUUAUAGCGGUAAGUGCCCAAAUUAGGUACACCUGCCCAAAUGGUACAAGACCCUAGUUGUUGGUGUUGAACAAACUGUGUCGUGUGUUUUCAAAAAUCCAUUGGGCUUACCUGUAAUAGAAAAGAAGACAUAACAUGUAAUUAAUCAUAGUGAACAUAUGAGCUAAUUUAAUAACAGUUUUAUGAAUAUGCAAAAUGUAAUUGAAGCAAUUCAUUUUUUUAUCAAUAACGGCGCCGGCCAAGUAUGGACACAGUCAGUUGGGAAGGAAAAGAAAUGUUAGAGUGUGGUGGUUGUUGCUACUAGAAACCGAGUGCACUCUGCAUUUCCAAAAUCACCACGGAAAGUAGUUAUUUUACGGGAUGAAUGACCCAUAAAAGGUUAAAAUCCCCGAUAAUAAACAAACAAACGAUGUAGUUAUGUUUUGGUAGAGGGUUCACACAUUGGUGCAAAGAUGCCAGUCGUAAGGUAAUAUGUAUUGUGUGUUGAUUACUUAGAAGGUGAUGCGUCAAAGUUAGCUGGUUGCAUAAUCUGCAGGCGUUUUAUGAUAUGUUAUCAAUGUGCUGAAGAAAUUGGACGGAAGGGAAACGACUUUUUCAACCCGUUUCAGGUUUGCGGUUCUAGCGAUGGCUAUGAACAUAUGAAUACACAUAAGUUGUAUGUUUCGAUAACUUCUUUUUUUAUUUUUAACUUGAGAUAAUUCUACACUUCGUAGAAAAGGAGGAAGUAAAUAUAAAGAUACUGAGUAGAUGAAAAGGGACAGGCUUGGGAUUGAACCCCGGACCUUUUGCAUACGAAUCAGAAGCUUUAGCCAUGAGACCACCAAGGCCGCUAAGUUAUAAUAAAAAGAAGGAAAACGUUCAAUCACAAUUUCUGAGGCUUUCAGAGUUUUUUUUUCUAUUACUUUUAUUAUCCCAACUUUUCUGAAAGUUCUGGUGCAACAUAACAAAAUUAUAAGGACCCUGAGUUAAAUCUUUUUUUUUUUAUCUGUAUUAACGAGAUUUUUAGCCCUAGGCUAGUUCAUCUCGGGACCCACGGUUUACUUCCCUUCCGAAGGAAGAACUCACAUUGUGCGAGUUUGUCGGGAGUGGGAUUCGAU